GUGUUUGCCCGGAGCGGCCUGUUGUUUUCGGGAGGCCGGGCGGAGAGCCCGCCUCCCGGGUGUCACCCCGCCCUUCCUCCUCCCCGCCCAUAGGGGUUAACCCCUCCCUUCCCAGAGGCUCGUUAUUCCCAUACCUAUUCUACUCCUUCCUUUCCCCGCUCCCUCCUCAGACUCCUUCACGUCUCGUCUCUGAGAUUGUUCCGGUAGCUGUCAGCGCACCCCAUUUCCUCCCAAAGUGUCCCGAUUCACCUAUCUUGAUUCCCAUCUGCUCUCCCUUAGGGGGUCUAGUGGGUUCCCAAUUCAGAUGACAGUGACUCAGAUUGAAUGUUUGCUAACUUCGGGAUCUGGAUGCGAGCCCACGUCAGUCCCUCGUAUCACAAAGAUCCAAGCAGCUCAUGAAAAGGCGGCAUGUUGCUUUUCCAGUUAAAAAAGUCAGUCAACCUCCUAACUAACACCUGGAGGCGGCAGAGGCAACCCUUACCAUCAGUGCUACAAUGAAGUUUUCAAAAAACUUUUUUUUUUUUUUUUUGUCUUUUUAGGGCCGCACUAGCGGCACAUGGAGAUUCCCAGGCUAGGGGUCAAAUCGGAGCUGUAGCUGCCGGCCUACGCCAGAGCCACAGCAACUCGGGAUCCGAGCCGCGUCUGCGACCUACACCACAGCUCAUGGCAACGCCGGACCCUUAACCCACUGAACGAGGCCAGGGAUCGAACCUGCAUCCUCAUGGAUGCUAGUAAGAUUCGUUUCCGCUGAGCCACGAGACAAACUCCCAAAACACUUUUAUUUUUUUAUUCUCUUCUCUUUGGACCUAAGAAAGCAACCUUUUUCGCUCUGAGCGUUCUUAGAGAAAGGUCCUGGGAGAUGAUUGGUGCUGGAGGCGGAGAGCCCGCCCUUCCUCAGCCAACCGGCUCUCUCGUGGGAACCCAGCGCGCGCCCUCUUGUGGUCGAGAGCGGCGCUGCAUCCAGCACACUGAAGAGAAAAGGUGAAAAAAGAAGUUGGGGUCCCCAGGGAAGACAUGCCACAGCGGUAUCAGAGAGGACCGCCAAACCAGCAGUUAGACCAUGGAUGAUGUUGGUGAAUGCGGUCUUCAAGGUGCCUGGAAGAGUAUAUGAAAUAUUAUAUGUAAAAAAAGUGGAUCCCUGUGCCUGGUGCACUGUAAAUAUCAAUAAACGGCAGCUAUGGCUAUUACUGUGAAAUUUGGGAGUUCCUGUUGUGGCUCAGUGGGUUAAGAACCUGAUAUAUUAGAGGAUGCAAGUUCAAUCCCUGGCCUUGCUCAGUGGGUUAAGGAUCUGGCUUUGCCCUGAGCUAUGGCAUAGGUCGCAGAUACGGCUCCGAUCCUGCCGUUGCUGU
rnacentral:lncRNA from 1 species